AAAGAGAUCUUUCUUGCCAAACUGAGAAGAGAAAAACUUGCCAGGAAGAGAACAGCAUGUAUUCAGGAAAGUCAAACUAGGCUGGAAGGGCUAAAGAGCUAUUUAGAAGAGAGGGUUCAUGCAGGGGGAAUGCUGGACAGCACAAAGAAUCGGACUCCCUUCUUGGGUUCCGUUGUGUCUUUACUAUGGAAAAAUGUGAAUACCAAGCCUAAGACUCUACAAAUCUCAAUUCAAUUAUUUUGUUUACUCAAGCUACACUAGAGAAGAUGCCAGAACUGCAGUGAACGCAUGUUGAUAACCUAGAAGAUUCCUUUGUAAAGAAUGACAGAAAGAGUGACUUUCCGAAUAUUAGCAAGAUUUAAUGGUUGGGGCUUAUACAACUUGAACCAAUACCAAGAUUAUGGUUACCUGAGUGAGUGAUUCCUGCAGUUUCUGAACACAAGGCGGAAAGCAGCAGGCUGACACGGGGAGCUGUGAGCGUAACACGCACGGUCCACAACGACAUGAAAGCACAGAGGGAUUUCUGGAAAGGGGUGACAUACCCACUGGAACCAUGUCCUGGUACUGUGGCCUACUGACUGUAUUGAAUGUGCUGGACGGCCUGGGGAGAACCGGCGGUCCCGCGUGCCGAGAAUCUUCUCCUACCUGCAAACACAAGCAUCAUUUAUGUUCUGCAUCAGGAGCUAGAGGACUUUGUAUCAGCAUACCGAACCAAUUCGUUCAAAAAAUUUAACAACAAACAUGGCAAAGUACCAGCCAAUCAGAACUCAUAGCAGACUUGGGAUUCUUGGUCUUCAAAAGACCUGCUCUAGUGGCUGAAGGGGAGAAAAGUUGAGGUAUCCACAUCCUUGAAAGGAGUUGGGGCAGUGAGUAUUUUUAUUUUAUUUGUUCUUUGUAGGUAGUGAGUAUUUCCAAGUGGCACAGAAGUAGUUCAAUAUGCUUGUAAUUACUGGGGCUAUGGCAGUUAAAUAGCAGACUCAUUGAUCAGGAAUAACUCCUGCAUUGACAGAACACAAACCUGCAACAAUACAAUCAAAGGGCAGAACUGGGAGGUACAAAGUGUAUUGGGAAAGUGCCAGGAUAUUCCUUCUUUUGGCUAAAGCAGACCAGGGAAUUCCCUGUCUCAGCAGAGGAGGAAACCAAGAGCAGCACUCUUCCUAUGGGGUUCCGAGUUAGUGUAUCAUCUCCUU